rnacentral:rRNA from 1 species
GUGGUUUAAUUCGAAGCAACGCGAAGAACCUUACCAGGUCUUGACAUCCCGAUGCUAUUCUAGAGAUAGAAAGUUACUUCGGUACAUCGGUGACAGGUGGUGCAUGGUUGUCGUCAGCUCGUGUCGUGAGAUGUUGGGUUAAGUCCCGCAACGAGCGCAACCCCUAUUGUUAGUUGCCAUCAUUCAGUUGGGCACUCUAGCGAGACUGCCGGUAAUAAACCGGAGGAAGGUGGGGAUGACGUCAAAUCAUCAUGCCCCUUAUGACCUGGGCUACACACGUGACUACAAUGGUUGGUACAACGAGUUGCGAGUCGGUGACGGCGAGCUAAUCUCUUAAAGCCAAUCUCAGUUCGGAUUGUAGGCUGCAACUCGCCUACAUGAAGUUGGAGUUGCUAGUAAACGCAGGUCAGCCAUACUGCGUUGAAUACGUUCCCGGGGCUU